CGAGUUAACCCAGCCGAGUUUCGAUGAGUUCCAGCGUCAAACGUCUCUGAUGACCAGCUGUACUCUCCUCUGGAAAGAACUGUCGGAUCACAUAAAUUCACUUGAGCAGAACCUGAUGAAGCAGUCGGAGACCUUGAAACGCAAAAUCGAGGCACUGGACUCGGAAACCAAGGCUUCACUCGACUCACUCAAGAAGCGGGAACUCAGUAUCGAGGACAGUGUCAAGAUCGCACUCAGCCGAGUCGAGUUCAACACCAAAGCUGCCAUGAGGACCCUUGGAGACGACGUUGAAGACAAUCCGGACGGUGAGGUCGACG
rnacentral:lncRNA from 1 species